UUCCUACGGGAGGCAGCAGUGGGGAAUCUUGCACAAUGGGCGAAAGCCUGAUGCAGCAACGCCGCGUGAGCGAAGAAGGCCUUUGGGUCGUAAAGCUCUGUCCUAAGGGAAGAAGGAAGUGACGGUACCUUAGGAGGAAGCCCCGGCUAACUACGUGCCAGCAGCCGCGGUAAUACGUAGGGGGCAAGCGUUAUCCGGAAUUAUUGGGCGUAAAGAGUACGUAGGCGGUUCUUUAAGCGUAGGGUCUAAGGCGAUGGCUUAACCAUCGUUCGCCCUGUGAACUGGAGGACUUGAGUAUCGGAGAG
rnacentral:rRNA from 1 species